AAAAAUGUAAAACCUUUGAAAUAUUGUAUUAAUCAUAAAAAAAUAAUAUUUUGUGGUUUUCGGUGCUCAAAAUGAAGUUUUUUGAGCUGAGAUUUAAGUAGCGAAGCAAAAAUGCGAAUAAUCGUAAAAAAAAAUAAAAAUAAAAAUAAAGCGAAUGUGCUAGUGAGAUAAAAUGUUUAUAUAUGAGGCAAUAGUCAGUGUUGACUCAUGAACGGACAAACUGAAGUAAAAGUUAUUUAAAGUGAAGAAAUAAUAUAGAAAAUUGAUUUUUACCAUAAAAGCUAUACAUUAGCUGUUUAAACUCCGAAUUUGUGAGUAGAGGUAAAAGAUAUUUCUGAAAUGAAAUUUAAAUGGUUUAAGUUUCAAGAUGUAAAGUAUUUGCAUCUUAAAAUGUGUGAGACCUUUAUUAUUUAUGAA
rnacentral:lncRNA from 1 species